GCGAGGCGGCGCCCGCGUGCAUGCUGUUGCAUGCACGUGUUGAGCGGUGCAGUGCCUCGGCAGUGCAGCCCGGAGCCGGCCCCUGGCACC
rnacentral:pre_miRNA from 1 species